rnacentral:rRNA from 1 species
UCCAGACUCCUACGGGAGGCAGCAGUGGGGGAUAUUGCACAAUGGGGGAAGCCCUGAUGCAGCGACGCCGCGUGAGUGAAGAAGUAUUUCGGUAUGUAAAGCUCUAUCAGCAGGGAAGAAAAAAGACGGUACCUGACUAAGAAGCCCCGGCUAACUACGUGCCAGCAGCCGCGGUAAUACGUAGGGGGCAAGCGUUAUCCGGAUUUACUGGGUGUAGAGGGAGCGUAGACGGCAAUACAAGUCGGAAGUGAAAUACCCGGGCUCAACCUGGGAACUGCUUUGGAAACUGUAUGGCUGGAGUGCUGGAGAGGUAAGCGGAAUUCCUAGUGUAGCGGUGAAAUGCGUAGAUAUUAGGAGGAACACCAGUGGCGAAGGCGGCUUACUGGACAGUAACUGACGUUGAGGCUCGAAAGCGUGGGGAGCAAACAGGAUUAGAUACCCUCGUACC